rnacentral:lncRNA from 1 species
CUUGGCCCAUUGGUUGACCAAGGGUUGAUUAAUGCUUCUACACUAAGAGGUCUGGGGUUCGAGUCCUAGAUAUUGCGAUUUAUUAUCAAAUUUGCAGAUUAAUGGAGGCAAGUGUGCAGGAGAUCUCCAGCGAUGUACAAUUAUAGCCGUGCGCCAGGAUUCUACGCAGGGAAGGAAGUGUCGCCAGGUCGUGGAUCAUUGAAGGUAUUCAUCAAGAUCAUGAAGAAGGAAGUGUAAUCUGUCGUGGAUCUACUAAGGGUCGGCAGAAAUUGUCAGUUGGAGAAUCGUCUAUGUAACAGUUCUCAUAAUUUGUAAUUAAUAAUAAAUCUAGACGACAAAAAAAAAAAAUUUGUAUUUAAUCAUUAUAUGACAUGACAUAAUGAUUAGAUAAAAUUAAAAAUAUAAGGGUUCACCCCAAAAAUUGUUCAAAAAGUUGUUAGUUCCUGAU